rnacentral:sRNA from 1 species
UGAAGAUGUUGGGAGUGCUGCACUCCCUAUA